rnacentral:rRNA from 1 species
AGCAGCCGCGGUAAUUCCAGCUUCAAUAGCGUAUAUUAAAGUUGUUGCAGUUAAAAAGCUCGUAGUUGAAUUUCGGGGUUAGUAGGCUGGUCAUGCCUCUGGUAUGUACUGGUCUCACUGAUUCCUCCUUCCUGAUGAACCUUAAUGCCAUUAAUUUGGUGUUUUGGGGAAUUUGGACUGUUACUUUGAAAAAAUUAGAGUGUUUAAAGCAAGCCAACGCUUGAAUACAUUAGCAUGGAAUAAUGAAAUAGGACGUUCGAUCCUAUUUUGUUGGUUUCUAGGAUUGACGUAAUGAUUAAUAGGGAUAGUUGGGGGCAUUAGUAUUCAAUUGUCAGAGGUGAAAUUCUUGGAUUUAUUGAAGACUAACUACUGCGAAAGCAUUUGCCAAGGAUGUUUUCAUUAAUCAAGAACGAAAGUUAGGGGAUCGAAGACGAUCAGAUACCGUCGUAGUCUUAACCAUAAACUAUGCCGACUAGGGAUCGGAUGAUGUUAAUUUUUUAAUGACUC